CCAACCGGAAGUUGGCGUACCCCGGGGGAGUGUUGUCAACGCGCAGUUCCACCGGACUGGCAACGCUUCUACGAAUACUAUUACAAAGGGAAACUGUAGUACCUAUAUGGACUUGGCAAACUGUCAAGGAGAUGAGAUGGCAAGAAAUUAGAAUAACGAGGCGUGAACAAAGACAAAUUGGCACAAUUCUUUAAUCUAAAACAAACUUAUGUCUAAAGUUAGUAAAAUCUUAAUCUAUUGUUAGUUAAUGAUAAAAGUUAAUAAGCUAUUUUCUAUUAGUACGCUUAACCUAAACGAACGGCGAGCAAUUCAUUACGGCAGUUAAAUCUAAAAUCACACAAAUAAUUAGUUGGUAUCCAUGCAACAAUAACCGUCAGAGUAUCAAUUGUUGUCUGACUCCGAGCGCGUAGUAAACGAAUUUUAUAACCGCCCCCACAUUGAACUCAAAUAAACGGUUUAUAAAAACGGAAUCUGCUCUUUGUUGUAUGGUGAGCCAACAAUAAGAUCUAUAAGUAUUUGCUCCCAAAAUUUCAGACUAUUGUGUUUAGUUUUCAAUUAAUUACAGCUGUUUGAAAUUUGAAAAGCCUUAACUGCGCAGAGUAUGGGGUCUUCACGGUAAUUAUGAAUAUGAAGGAAAGGUUCUCGAAUCUAGCCACGACAAGGAAAGAAAAAUU